rnacentral:lncRNA from 1 species
UUUUAGCCUUCCAAAUCCCAUAAAAGACAUACCCUUGGCUUAUUCUUACAGGAAAUGAACCACAGGGAGGAACAAAGUUUCAGGCACACUACUCAUUCUCUUAUCAUUGCUUGAAACACAGAUACCUCCUACACAUACAUACUUCUUCAUUUUGCAGAGCACAAGCAUUAAAAGCAUGGGUUUUUUGGCUUAUAGGAGUGCUGUUCUUUUUGUCUGUAUUGGGUUUUUAGCUCUCCAGCCAGAAAAGGUUUCUGGCUUAAGAAGCAUGGAUUUGGCUCUCAGAUGGGACAAAGGGCACAUGUCAUUUCUUAAAAGUUUGCAUCUUGUUAAGGCUGUCGCUGUAGAGGAUUUGCAAGCGAAGCUGAGUUUGGCGCCUGCACCUUCAAUGACAUUUGAUCCAAAUCAAUCAAACAAGAGAAAAGUUCGAAAAGGAUCAGACCCGAUUCACAACAGAUGUUGACAUGCUGAUGCAGCUUCCUAUGGGGAGAAGAAGGCAACUAAGUUUUUUCUUGCAAAAGAAGCAGCUGUGCUGUAACUAAUACAAAAGGGUUCAACAGGGUGGUGGGCAUCCUCUUCCUUUAUAGAUUCUCAAAGUUGGUUGGUUAGAAUUAUAUAUUUUCGUUUGUUUUAGUCGAAAGUUUUUGUUGUUGAGCGGAAGAAAUGCAGCUGAAAAACCAAUCAUUGAGCUAGCAUCAUCUCUAUUGUAUAAACAUAGGUCCUAACCAAUAGCCGAAUACUUUGAGAAUGAUGAUGCUGGCACUCACAGACUACAUGCAUUUUCUGAAUUUUCUCUAUAAAAG